rnacentral:tRNA from 2 species
CGGGAAGUAGCGUAGUUUGGCUAGCGCGCGACGUUCGGGACGUCGAGGUCGUGGGUUCGAAUCCCACCUUCCCGACCA